rnacentral:rRNA from 1 species
UACGUAGGUGGCAAGCGUUGUCCGGAUUUACUGGGCGUAAAGAGCGCGCAGGCGGUCGUUCAAGUCGCGUGUGAAAGCCCCCGGCUCAACUGGGGAGGGUCACGCGAUACUGAUCGACUCGAAGGCAGGAGAGGGUAGUGGAAUUCCCGGUGUAGUGGUGUAAAUGCGUAGAUAUCGGGAGGAACACCAGUGGCGAAGGCGACUACCUGGCCUGUUCUUGACGCUGAGGCGCGAAAGCUAGGGGAGCAAACGGG